UGAGGACCCCCAAAGACCCCACUGCUGGAAGUUUGAGCAGAUCGGAAGAUGCUGGAGGCUGGGGGUUGGGGCCCUGGAUUCAAAGCAUCCAUCUGAACAUAUUGUCACCCGUGCAUCCUGAGAGAGACAGCUUCAUGGAGUGGAGGUGUGUGGCCUGGAGGCCCCACGUAGGCCACCAGGCAUGUUUUCCACGAAAACCGAAACUUCUGACGGGAUUACUAACAUUGGGAGAUUUCCGUUUCUUGGACGCCAGUGGAGGGGCUGCACCAGCCUUAAAAGAAAUCAUGUGAGCCUCCACGAAUCAGCAAACAAAGGAGAAAUUAAGGUUCUGCCCACUUUUGUGGUUUUUGCUUUUCUGGAAAGUUUACGUUGUGCAUCCUUAAGUCAUUACGUAACACUGUAUUAAUAAGCAGUUGACUCAGAACUCCAGAGGGCUUCUGAGCUGGUGAAGUCCAUUCAUGUUACUAAGUCUAUUCUUCCUCCCAGAAUAAAAUCUUCCAUCUUCUCUGAGUUAGGCCUUCCUCAUCAGAACCAUUUCUUUUCUCAUUCAGCUCUCUGAGGUUUUCUACUUAUCAUCCAACUGUAGUAUCCACUGAUAAAUUACACGGAUUCACAAUCCAGCCACUUACUUUGUUUCCUCCUAACAUUUGGAAUAAGCUACUUCCUGCACCAGAGCCUCUGUCUGUCAUGCCUUUACCGGAUCUUAUUUUGGGGGGCUGACCAGUUGCCUAAACCCACAUGCACCCUCUCACCUGGGUUCUCAAGAACUUCUAUUUUGGACAUCCACCAAAAAAAAAAAAAAAAUCUUGUUAAGUAAGAUGAACACUUACCUGAUGGCAGAAGCCUGUUGUGCUCAUCAAAACUUUGAGAUAACCAGGGUUCCUGGAAUCUAAAUCUUCCUAUAUAAAAUAGCAGAGUAGCUGAUCAAAUAAGAGUCAGACAAGUAAGGGUCAACUUUGGAAUCAAUAAAUGGGGCUGGACCCAGUCAUUCACCUACAUUCAAACAGCAAAUAGGCUGGGUGUGGUGGCUCACAUCUGUAAUCCCAGCAUUUUGCGAGGCAGAGGCAGGCAGAUCACGAGGUCAGGAGUUUGAGACCAGCCCGACCAACA
rnacentral:lncRNA from 1 species